GUGGGGAAUCUUGCGCAAUGGGCGAAAGCCUGACGCAGCCAUGCCGCGUGAAUGAUGAAGGUCUUAGGAUUGUAAAAUUCUUUCACCGGGGACGAUAAUGACGGUACCCGGAGAAGAAGCCCCGGCUAACUUCGUGCCAGCAGCCGCGGUAAUACGAAGGGGGCUAGCGUUGCUCGGAAUUACUGGGCGUAAAGGGCGCGUAGGCGGACAGUUUAGUCAGAGGUGAAAGCCCAGGGCUCAACCUUGGAAUUGCCUUUGAUACUGGCUGUCUUGAGUACGGGAGAGGUGAGUGGAACUCCGAGUGUAGAGGGGAAAUUCGUAGAUAUUCGGAAGAACACCAGUGGCGAAGGCGACUCACUGGCCCGUUACUGACGCUGAGGCGCGAAAGCGUGGGGAGCAAACAGGAUUAGAAACCCUGGUAGUCC
rnacentral:rRNA from 1 species